rnacentral:snRNA from 1 species
AGCUUUGCACAGUGGCAGUAUCGUAGCCAAUGAGGUUUAUCCGAGGCGUGAUUAUUGCUAAUUGAAAAAGAAAAAAAAAAAAACAUAGAGGAUACUAUAGAGCAACUCUCAAACAUUCAGGAGGAAAUGAGAACCAGUUUCAACUAUGGCUAAUGAUGAUUCUCUGGGGUUGUAAUCUAAAUGCUUCCCAAAGA